AUCUGCAUGGAACAAUGCUGCUUCUCUGCAUGACUAGAGUUUGUUUUCUCUUUGAAGAUAAUCUCACUAGGAUCAAGACCAUACCUGCUGGAGAGUCAGGACUCUGGAUUUCUGAUUGUUUUCAGGACAGCUACCCUCAUCCUAGGCUGAUCUGAGUUUCUGGGUCUUUCUCUGCCUGUUCUUUCCUCUCCCCUUCCCUUCCCUGCUGCAGAAAGUGUUUUAUGUGGGUGUCAGCAACAUCAGGACCUUUCAAGCCCCUUGCCCCAGUAUCAUCCCUGAAUGCAAAACUCACUCAGAGGCCUGGGGAAGAGAUUCGAACUCUGCUUUUCCUCUGCCACCUCAGGUGUGUUCCAGCUUACAAGACACUUUCACAGAAAAAAAGUUCAGGGAAUGGAAUUGGAAGGCAAAAAUAGCUGCUCGAUGCUGACUUGGCACAUUUGACUUUGACCAAAUCAUCCAGCGCCUCGUCCUUAGUACUCUGGUUUCCACAGAAUAAUCCUCAUGCAGUGAGUAGUGGAAGUCAGGAGGAAUAAACUGCCUAGAUGUCAUGAAGGGAAAACAAUGCACAAUAGACUUGUGCAGAAUCUAUUCCUGUCCGUUUCCCUGUGAAUCCAGAUUGCUGAACACUGGCCGAUGUCUGAGCUGUGGUUUCCCCCUGGAUUUGAAAUUUAGUUACUAGAAGACAAUGCUUUUGAAUGGCUUCUUGGCCAUGACUUUCACAGGGCCUGCUGGCUGUUGCCUGAUGAUUGUCUGAUAGGCCUAGCCCCUUGGCAAAGCAAUGUUUCAUUUGCAAAACUACGCUUGUCCGGUGCCUCCUGGGAACUGAAAGCCUGGCAUCAGCAGAGGAACGCAAAUUGGGCAAAUCACGGAUCUCCCAGGCGUGCGUUGCUUGGGGGCCAUGGUACACAGCACUGCUAAAAGUCUAGGACAAUCUAUGUGUUUUAGGAGCAAACCAGUGCCUUGCACUUCUAAGCUGUAUCCUUUGCUCCCUCCCUGAGAGGCAGCCGUGUGCUCUGGGCUUCCUAGGUAAGUGACUCACACCAACUAUAAGCCUGGCUUAUGACCUAGAAAAGGAAACAGGAAGUGGCUUAGAGACAUAAAGAGCACAGCCCAGAAGGGGCUGCUGUGGAAUUCUCCUCAGAUGAGACGGAGUCCAGUGGGCAGAGGGGCAACUUAGCAUCCUCUCUUUCCCCAUGUUACCACGAUGCUCUUGGCAGGGACCAUUUGAUGGGGAUUCGGAUGUCUUCCUGGGGUGCCUUGUAUGACCUCUGAAAAUAUGACCUGAAGCAGAUGGAUGCACUCACAUAAGAAACAUCACCUGUGGCCUUCAUCGAAAAUGGGCCUGCUGCUUGAAGAAGUUGGGCUCUUGGAGUUCUCUAGCACAGGGGCCAUGAAAAUCAAUGACUUCCUUGUUUGCUGACGGAGCAGAGGUAGAAUCUCUUGGUGUUUCCACGGAGAAAACACUGACCAUGAAGAGCCAAGAAAGAUGACAUGAUGAAGCCAUCAGGGGAAGCACCAAACAUCCUCAACUCUGCUCACCCAUGGUUUUCUCCCGCCCUCCCAGAGCUCCUCCUGCGUGAGUAAUGCAGUGUGUGCUGGUGCAGUGUCUCACUGAAAAAAGAAAGAAACCCUGAUUUGCAGCAUUGGCCAAUUUCUGUAGUGUAAAUACUCCCACCAUAGCAGAUUUCAGGUUACCAAGGGUUUCACAACUGGUUCACAAGUCUUGACUGUAAUGACCAGCUCAUGCAACUCCAGCAUCUCAUCAUCUCCGCCCUGUCCCAGAAAAUCCCCACAUCACACCCAGGCUGAAUAUCACUUUCAGCUUCUCAGUCAGAAGGAGAAGUGGUUAACUAUGCCAGGAUGGUAAUGACUAAAUAUCAGAAUGGUGAGUGUGGAGGGUCAGGAUGUCUGCCAAAUUGGAGAUGACUCUUCACUUCUCAAUCUUGGUGUCUCAUCUGGGGAAGCUGGAGGGAGACAUGCACAGCUUCUCAUGAACAGUCCUGGAAGCCCUUACCCCAAGGCCUCAUGGGGCUCUCUCCAGGGCUUGCUCUUUGUCACUCCUUUAAAAGCCUGUCAUUCAUUGCCAGAGAACAGAAGACUCCAUCCUAAGGCCAAGUUGAAAACGGCAGGCUUGGGAGCUGUCUAGACUCUGGGUCCUGGCUUUUGUCUUGGCUGGUGUCAAAAUGGACUCUUUAAAAACUGUCCUCAGGAAGAUUCCCCAUCCAACUCUGAACAGCCUGGACUGAUCUUUUUCUGAUUUUUAGGGGUCUUGUGAACAAGAGUCAGGUGGGCGGGCAGCUCUUGUAAAGCUGAACAUAACCAAAUUUGUCCAUAGCCUGUGACAGCAAAGAUCACAAAAUUCUUCCCUCCCCUUUAGGGCCUGGGAGUGACGCCGAACCAAGGGGAGGAUAGUGACCUAUUUUAUCUCCCAAACAUUGGGCAGCCAGUUGCAUUUGCAGAUUUAAAAUCCACCCACACUACUGCAGUUUCUGUUCUCCUGCCCCCCCGAGCAUACUUCUGGCUGGAGCUGGUUUUGUAAAGUGGAGUUGGCUGUGGGUGUGGGAGUCCUCCUCGGAGAGCCUGGUCUGACAGCCCCAGUCAACAGCCCUCCCAUGGGCAUUUGGGCUGCUCCAGUCCCGGCAGGUGCACAGCUCAGGGGAAUCUGGUUUUGUCUUGGUCUCAGCCAGGGAAGUCUAGUUAAAGAAAGAAAAGGUUGGCCGGGUGCAGAGGCUCACACCUGUAAUCCCAGCACUUUGGGAGGCUGAGAUGGGCAGAUCACGAGGUCAGGAGUUUGAGACCAGCAUGGCCAACAUGGUGAAACCCCGUCUCUACUAAAAAUACAAAAAUUAGCUGGGCGUGGUGGCAGAUGCCUGUAAUCCCAGCUACUUGGGAGGCUGAGGCAGGAGAAUUGCUUGAAACCAGAAGGUGGAGGUUGCAGUGAGCCGAGAUCGCGCCACUGCACUCCAGCCUGGGCAACAAGAACAAAACUCUGUCUCAAAAAAAAAAAAAAAAAAAAAAAGGUCUCGGUGGAAAUGGCCUUGAAUCUGGGGUCUCUCUCAUAUUCUAAUCACUCAAUCACUUAACAAAUACUUAUUGAGGGCCUACUAGGUGCCACACAUUGGAAGACAGUGGAGGGUGAAGCAGAGUCUGCCCUCAGGGAGCUUACAGUUUAGAUUACAGGCAAGACAGCCCUUACACACAUAAUUCCAGAUGAGUCAAUAAUGACCAGGGUGCAGAGGCUUUGAAGCAGAAGCAUAAGGUGCAAUGGGAGCAUAAAACAGGGAAGCCUAAUGCAGACUGAGGGGCCUGAGGAGGGUUCCUUGAGAAAGUGAGGUUGAAGCUGAGAACCUGAGGAGUGGUUUUCACGCAGUGCAAUUGAAGGUUGAAAGGGAAGAUCCUCCAAUGCACAAAGAAUUCAUGCUUCAGAAACAUUCUCUUCCUGAGGAUACAUUUGGGAAUUUAGGUAGAAAUUAACUGUCUUGCCUUCAUAUACAGUGUAGUGGAGACCACUGUAGGUCUCCAACUUUUUGUCUUUUCUUAAUAACAAGUCCCCAGUUUUUGCUAGGUACAUAGCUACCCAGAGAAAAGAUUAUGUGGCCACCUUACUAUGUUCUGGCCAAUGAGAUGUCAGCAGAGGUAAUAUGCGGGGCCUCUGAGAAGGCCCUUUCCUGCUACCUGGUACCUGGCUGGAGGCUGAAAAGCCAUUAGGGACGAGACAUGCUAAGGUUGGAGGGUCAGCGUAUUACAUGGAGCCUCCUUCCCUGAUGGCCUUGGGCUGCCAUACCAGCCCUGGAUUGCCUAAUUCCCGACUUCUUUUGUAAAAGGGAGAAAUAAGGGUCAAUUUUUAAAAAAGCAUCUAUUACUUUGACAUUUUCUGUCACACACAGCCAAAUAUAAUCCUAACUACUAUACACAGCUUCUUUUCAGCUUAAUGAAAAGAUCAUUGUUCUGCACUACACAUAAAUUACCUAUUUUAUAGAAAAGUCUGUGAUUACAAUAGCUAUUUUCCCAGCCUCCUUCAUCACCUCCUUGAUCCCCUUAUCCUCCCCUCGGCCCUGCACCUCCUCUCUUUCCUGACUCCCACACCAGAGCUAGGCCUGCCCUGGGCACUUUUGCCUCCAGGAAUGAAUGAGGCUCACAGCCCGAAGGUGCUCCAAGUCUUGGCUACCUUCCCUCAGUGGCUGCCCUGGCAAAGGUCCUGCCGCAGGGAAUCACACAAAGUCCAGCAAAGCAACUGGUCUUUCCUGUCCAUUCUCACCCUUCCCAAGAAAGUGUGAAGAGUUACAAUACUCAGGCAGAGCUGGAAAAAUCAUACCCUUUUAGAGAAUCCACAAGAAUUAUUGGAGGUGCUUUCACUGACCUGCCCUGCCUUGGGUUUUUCAAGCUACGCAGAUGGGUUUUUCAAGCUACGCAGAAUUUAAUGGAUCUGUUUCCCCAGCCUCUGGCUAACCAAAUCCAAAACAUCAAGAGUCAAGGGGAGAAGGUCAGCAUGUUUAGUUACAAACCUUUGGGGCUGUCUGGGGUGAUUGCAGGCCUCAGCAUGCUGGCUUUGGGUGCGGUGAGGCUGGGGAUGCAUAGAAUUCUGUCCCCUCUGCCCCUGCCUCAAAAAAAAAGUUGAAGGCUUAAACCCCAGUACCUCAGACUAUGGCCUUAUUUGGAGAUAGUCUUUACAGAGGUAAUCAAGUUAAAAUGUGGUCAUUAAGGUCAGCCCUAAUCUAAUAUAACUCCUGUCCUUAUGAAAAGGGGAAAUUUGGCCGGGUGCGGUGGCGGCUCAUGUCUGUAAUCCCAGGACUUUGGGAGGCCAAGGGGGCGGAUCACAAGGUCAGGAGUUUGAGACCAGCCUGUCCAAUAUGGUGAAACCCCAUUUCUACUAAAAAUACAAAAAUUAGCCAGGUGUAGGGGCACGCGUCUGUAGUCCCAGCUACUUGGGAGGCUGAGGCAGAAGAACCCGGG
rnacentral:lncRNA from 1 species